AGCCAUGUGGUGAGCACAAAGCGAACUAUUCUUUCGCCUUUUACUAAAGAAUACCGUGUGCUCUCCACGCUAAGUGGCAUACGCCUAUUUUUGGAGGGUUCUACUUUCGAGUGGGCCC
rfam:Arabidopsis lyrata subsp. lyrata unplaced genomic scaffold ARALYscaffold_2, whole genome shotgun sequence.